CCUACGGGAGGCAGCAGUGAGGAAUAUCGGUCAAUGGACGCGAGCCUGAACCAGCCAAGUCGCGUGAGGGAUGACGGUCCUACGGAUUGUAAACCUCUUUUGCCGGGGAGCAAGCGUGCGUUCGUGAACGCGCCUCGAGAGUACCCGGAGAAAAAGCAUCGGCUAACUCCGUGCCAGCAGCCGCGGUAAUACGGGGGAUGCGAGCUUAUUCCGGAUUUAUUGGGUUUAACGGGUGCGUGGGCGCGAGGCCAAGUCAGCGGUAAAAAUGCGGUGCUGAACGCCGUCGAGCCGUUGAAACUGGCGUUCUUGAGUGGGCGAGAAGUAUGCGGAAGGCGUGGUGUAGCGGUGAAAUGCAUAGAUAUCACGCAGAACUCCGAUUGCGAAGGCAGCAUACCGGCGCCCUACUGACGCUGAGGCACGAAAGCGUGGGUAUCGAACAGGAUUAGAUACCCGUGUAGUC
rnacentral:rRNA from 1 species